GCCCAGGUGGUGGAAUGGUAGACACGAGAGACUUAAAAUCUCUUGGCUUAUGGCCGUGCGGGUUCGAUCCCCGCCCUGGGCACCA
rnacentral:tRNA from 1 species